rnacentral:rRNA from 1 species
GUAGUCGUGCACUUCUCCUCUAGUAGAACGUCGCGACCCGUUGUGUGUCGGUCUACGGCCCGAGCGGGCGCCUGUCGCGUCGCGUUUCGCGUACGCGGCAGACCCUCGGACGCCCGGCCGGCUGCACGACGGUACUCCCACGGUAUCGGGCCGCAACCAAUCCGAUUCUMGAAUCGUGUGUGCGUCUAGCCCGUCGCAAGCUCGAUCAGUUCUUACCCGGUGGUCGGACCUAGUGCCGUCCCCGGGCCUGAUCAGCUGUUAGCAGWCGGUGUCCUCGGACUGGCCAAGCUUCGAAUUACCGGUCGGCGACGCUACUGCUUUGGGUACUCUCAGGACCCGUCUUGAAACACGGACCAAGGAGUCUAACAUGUGCGCGAGUCAUUGGGAUGCACAAACCUAAAGGCGAAAUGAAAGUGAA